rnacentral:rRNA from 1 species
GAUGAACGCUAGCUACAGGCUUAACACAUGCAAGUCGAGGGACCGGCGCACGGGUGAGUAACACGUAUCCAACCUGCCCUUUACCCGGGGAUAGCCUUUCGAAAGAAAGAUUAAUACCCGUAGUUAAGGAUGGGGAUGCGUUCCAUUAGGUUGUUGGUGAGGUAACGGCUCACCAAGACUUCGAUGGGUAGGGGUUCGGAGAGGAAUGUCCCCCACAUUGGAACUGAGACACGGUCCAAACUCCGACGGGAGGCAGCAGUGAGGAAUAUUGGUCAAUGGGCGUUAGCCUGAACCAGCCAAGUAGCGUGAAGGAUGAAGGCUUAUGGGUCGUAAACUUCUUUUAUAUAAGAAUAUGUAUUAUAUGAAUAAGGAUCGGCUAACUCCGUGCCAGCAGCCGCGGUAAUUC